UCCCUGGUAACUCAGAUGGUAAAGAAUCUGCCUGCAAUGCAGGAGCACCAGGUUCGAUCCCUGGAUUGGGAA
rnacentral:tRNA from 1 species